GAUGGACAACCCAGCUGGCUCAUGCUCCGUUUUGAUGAGGUUCUGGGAAGCAAGCCAGAUAAGGAAGUUUCCUGAUGCCCACAAAGUUUAAAUAACGGACUCGAGGUUACCCAGCAAUAAAUGUUGAAAAAGAGUUUAAAUUAGUUGGCUUUCAGAGUUUGUGUUUUGGACAACUAUAUUCUACUUUGGACAGCACUGUAUUUUCUCAUUGUAAAAGCAGGCAGGAUGGAGUAAAAAAUAAAAGUCAAAACAAUUUGAAAACAA
rnacentral:lncRNA from 10 species